rnacentral:rRNA from 1 species
UACGUAGGGUCCGAGCGUUGUCCGGAAUUACUGGGCGUAAAGAGCUCGUAGGUGGUUUGUCGCGUUGUUCGUGAAAACUCACAGCUCAACUGUGGGCGUGCGGGCGAUACGGGCAGACUAGAGUACUGCAGGGGAGACUGGAAUUCCUGGUGUAGCGGUGGAAUGCGCAGAUAUCAGGAGGAACACCGAUGGCGAAGGCAGGUCUCUGGGCCGCAACUGACGCUGAGGAGCGAAAGCAUGGGGAGCGAACAGG